UACGUAGGGGGCUAGCGUUGUCCGGAUUUAUUGGGCGUAAAGAGCGCGUAGGCGGCCGAGUAAGUCCGACGUGAAAUCUGGAGGCUCAACCUCCAGCGGUCGUUGGAAACUACUCGGCUAGAGUCUGGAAGAGGAGAGUGGAAUUCCUGGUGUAGCGGUGAAAUGCGCAGAUAUCAGGAAGAACACCGAUGGCGAAAGCAGCUCUCUGGGACGGUACUGACGCUGAGGCGCGAAAGCGUGGGGAGCGAACAGG
rnacentral:rRNA from 1 species